rnacentral:rRNA from 1 species
UACGUAGGUGGCAAGCGUUGUCCGGAUUUACUGGGCGUAAAGCGCACGUAGGCGGACUGUUAAGUCGGGGGUGAAAUCCUGGGGCUCAACCUCAGAAUUGCCUCCGAUACUGGCAGUCUCGAGUGCGGGAGAGGUGAGUGGAAUUCCCAGUGUAGAGGUGAAAUUCGUAGAUAUUGGGAAGAACACCAGUGGCGAAGGCGGCUCACUGGCCCGUAACUGACGCUGAGGUGCGAAAGCGUGGGGAGCAAACAGG